rnacentral:rRNA from 1 species
UACGUAGGGUGCGAGCGUUGUCGGAAUUACUGGGCGUAAAGAGCUCGUAGGUGGUUUGUCGCGUUGUUCGUGAAAACUCACAGCUUAACUGUGGGCGUGCGGGCGAUACGGGGCAGACUGGAGUACUGCAGGGGAGACUGGAAUUCCUGGUGUAGCGGUGGAAUGCGCAGAUAUCAGGAGGAACACCGAUGGCGAAGGCAGAUCUCUGGGCCGUAACUGACGCUGAGGAGCGAAAGCGUGGGGAGCGAACAGG